CCAACUUUGCACCCUUUUGGCUAAGAUUAAGCGUCAGUUUGACCCCUGACAUACUCUCCAGCAAAGAGCAACCUGCCUUAAGUGGGUUUUGGGUACUGGGAGGUGGGCAUGGGGCUUGCUCCAUCCACUCCAUGCAUUGGCCUGGUAUUGCCGUGCUGCCAGGAGCCAUGGCAAGCACU
rfam:Alligator mississippiensis ScZkoYb_91, whole genome shotgun sequence.